rnacentral:lncRNA from 1 species
UCUAAUGGCUGUUUGACACCUCAUCUAAUUGAUUAAAGAAUUUUGAGGCCUAAUACAUUUGAUCAUUAUAUCAACUCAUUCUAUUCAUCCCUUUUCCAGCACACAGAACCCUAUCGCACUAGAUUAUUCCCUAAUUCAUCCUCAUCCUCAUUCUAACGCUUAUCCUUCUCUCUCUCUCCUCACCCCACGUUUCCACCCUCCACCCUAGAUUCCCAGCCGAUUUCAACCCGUCGCACCAAAUCAUAAACCCCGAACCCCUUUGCAAUACAACCCUACGUCGCCCUAAGACCUUGCCAAUUCCGCCAAUCAAUCCAUUCCUCUGCCAACCUAAACCCUUUGUUACUCCACCUUCACCGCCGGAAAACCCCUAGUCAAGUAGGUUCCACCGUUCGUUGUCCUCAACUCCUAUGUAAUUUCACUUUUCGCUGCCCCAAACCCCAAGCAAUCUACCUUUUUUCUAGCCCAAACACCAUUGGCCCAAAACCCCUCUAAACCCUGCAUCUAUACCGUUCGGCCAUCGGCAUCCCUAGCCGCUGAACUCAAUGGCGCCGCGCCACGAGAUCGGGUUUGAUGAAUGAUAAAUGAGGGUUAUAUACAUGACCAUAUAAACGUAUAUAUACAUUUCUCUCUCUCUCUUGAUAAAUAUAGAUAUAUAUGUAUGUUUGAAGUUGAAUUUUAGUAAAGAAAAAAAAAAUCGAAAAUCAAAUGAUUUAAAAUUCUCAAAGGAAACUAUGACAAUUUGUACAGAAUGAAUCUAAAUAAAAAUAUGAGCAGAAUGACGAAAAUAAAAAUAAAAAUUAGGCAAUCCAAUUUAUUGAGAAUUUGAUAUAUAUAUAUAUAUAUAUAUAUAUAUAUAUUUGUGAAUUAUGUCGAGCAUACCAUUCUAAGAUCCAAUAAGCCAGCCACUGCUCAUCACCCACCUCUGAUGUGCUCUCUAUUUCUACAACCAAUGCAUACCUGAAAAUUUAAACCCAUAAAUAGAUUUCAAUAAUAAAUUAGGAGCAGUUUCAUUUGCAAUUAAAAUUGAAGUCAAAUUGGGAAAAGAAAAGAAAAAGAAAAUUAUUAGGCUGUGUUUGAACCAAAAAUUUAGUGAAUAGUUAAAUCAUCUACCUUUUAUCUAUUUUAUUUUUUUUCCACAUCAAAUUCUUCGUCCCAAUACGGCACUUGUAAAAAAGCAUUAUAACUGCCUGCAAAAUAGAUUAAACACCAAAAACAAAAUUAUAAAACAUUAAUAAUUUAUUAGAGAGAGAGCAAGAGAGAUUUUGGGCAAGUGACAAAAAAUUACCCGGCCAGUGAGUGAAGAAAGGUGAUCGAAGCCCAUAAACCACUCAUUUUGGUCGUUUUUAGGGUUGUGUUUUGGGAGUCUUUUGGGGAUUGGUGAAAUGGAUUGCAAAUAUAAAGGAGUGAGAGACAGAGAGACAGGAAAUUAAGUUGUGUUGGAUGAGUGCGAGAGGAGUAAAGUGAGAGGAAUGUUUGUAAACGAAGCUUUGGAUUCAGAUUGCGUGGUAUUCCAUCUAUCACAAACCAAUAAAUCUAUAUCAAUAAUGAGGGAAUCUUGCUUUGUGAAUGAGUGAGAGACAGAUAGAGAAUAAAUUACUUUUGAAUAAAGAAGUAUAAGAGUCUCUCUAAUGGACUCAUUAAACACGUUCGUAACUCUACCUAGAGUUUCCAUAUGAGAAAAUUGAAGAACAAAAAAGCCAUAACACGCAAGGGAGGGAACAGGUUGGGGAUUAGAUAUGGCAGACAAACAUAAGCCCUGAACAGCAAAUUCUAAUAUCAAUGAGAGAUGACGUCUUUUGAACACAGUCGACAAACUGUAAAUUCCACGGUAGAUGUUCAUCAUUUCUUAGAAGAUGCAAACUAGAAAAUACAGGGCAUGGAAGAGAAACUCCAAAACAUGAGUUUGACCAAUGGACGAGGACAUAGCAAAAUCUAGAUAAUUACCUACAACCUACUAUCAAUUUGAAAUGCUAUGGUUUUUUGUUUUCUUAAAAACAAAAGCAAACAACGUUCGCUUUUUGCUUUUUCCAGACAACACCUCUACAAAAAUUAACUUAAGGGUAAAAACACAAUUUGCUUUAUUUGCUUUGUUCUUUUUGCUUAAAAGGGAAAAACGUUGCUUAUAAUCAGGUGCCAAAUAGGACCUAAGUGAAGCAACUCACUCCAAAGGUCUUCACGGCACCAGGAAAAGUAUAGAAGGAGCUAAGAUGCAACAGGAAAGAAAACAUAACUGAUAAACAGAUAAACUACAGUAGAUCAACAGCUGAUAAAGUAGCAAGAAACUGUCUAAGCCAAAUCAACAACUUAUGCACCCAUUACGAUAAAUUUCAAUGAAAAUCACAAGACCAUGGAAUUGCACGACCACCCACUGAAGUCAUGUUUCUGGAUAAGAUGCAUAAUGGCACCCAAACAAGUUUAGCAGAUGAGAUACUUUGUUUUAACGGAGACCUUGGCCAACUUCCACCGUGAAACUUUUGUUUCCAGUGGUGGUGGUUAAGAACUUAAGAUAGAAAGCAAAUAACAUAAACUUUUUGAAUUUGAUAUCCAUGGAAAAGAGGGAAAGAAAAAGAGAGUCGUCGAAUGAAUUGUGCCUAAAUCAGAUCCCUUACAUGGAUUUUCAUAAAUUCCAAGCUUUUAAUCACUUUGAAAGAAUCCCAAUAGCUUUAAUAGCAGCAGGAACUAAUGUGAGGAAACAGAAUAACUCAUAGACACAUGAAAGGCUAUCUCGUGGUACAAAAUUGGAAAACUUUCAAUUACAGGUUAACCUCCAAACAAUAACAAUCCAUUAAGACUGAAACGGGUUGGAAAAAAAUUGGAUCAAAGUGUUACUUGAGAACUCUUAACUUUGUGCAUGAAAUAUAAAAAUAUCUAUAUGUAUGUAACUGAAGGAAAUUGAUAGCUUAUUGUGCUAACAAAAUUUGUAUUGACACAAGUUUUGGGGGCUUGAAUAGAAGGAGGUGAUUGUCGGUGUUGAUGGGUGAGGAGGCAGGCCAAUGUGUUAGCUGAGAACUGCAGAUGGCCCAUGGAUUUUCAUGACGAGCGAGAUGGUGACACGUGGUAACAUUAUGGAGAGGUUGUGCGAGUGUGAUUGUUGGAGCCGUCCAAUAAUGCAGGUUCUUACUCGUCAAAGGCCCGAAAAAAUAUAGAAGUGGUUAAAAUGGGUGUGUGUGUGUGUUAAGAUAAGAGAAUUGACACUACUGUUUACAAUUAAAGCGAACUUAAAUUACAUUAGCAGUAUCCCGCAAAGAAUAUCUUCGCUUUAACUCCAAAUCAACAAAUGUGGGAGAAAUCCAUAAUUAGAACAAUGAAAGGGGCAAACAAAUGGGAGUGACUGACUGCAUAUGAUACAAAAACCAACAAGCACCUUUUUCAUCUAGAGAAGUGAGAAUUUCACUACACCAAGAGAAGUAUAACAAGAACUAUGAUACAACAGGACAGAAACAUACCAGACAGAAGACAAACUGGAGAAGGGCAGCCCAGUGCAGUAGGCUCGCUACGCUGUGGGGACUGGUACGGAGUGUAAGUAGCAUUAACCCCACAUAUGGAGAGCUUUGUUUCAUGUUUUGAGCCGAUGAUGCCAGCAAGGCCCGCCUUGAAGACAAAGUGGAUUACAUAACACAAAAUAUCAUGACAGACAAUAUUUCGGAACUAGCAAACUACAGUCUCAUCAAAGCCAUUAAUGACUAAUCCACAGAAAAGAAGCAAUGGCUUGGACAUAACAAUAGCAAGAAGGACGUAAAGAAAACAAACUUGAAAAAGAGAACCCUCAAAUGAUAUGCCUUUUCAGUUUCUUAAGUGGGUUUCCAUAAAUCUUAAUUUUUAAUCAUUUCGAAAUGAAUCUCAAUAGCUUCAAGAAGGGCAGAAACUAAUAUGAGGUAAUUGAUCAACUCAAUAGACACAUGAAAGGCUAUCUCGUGGUACAAAAUUGGAAAACUUUCAAUUACAGGUUAACCUCCAAACAAUAACAAUCCAUUAAGACUGAAACGGGUUGGAAAAAAAUUGGAUCAAAGUGUUACUUGAGAACUCUUAACUUUGUGCAUGAAAUAUAAAAAUAUCUAUAUGUAUGUAACUGAAGGAAAUUGAUAGCUUAUUGUGCUAACAAAAUUUGUAUUGACACAAGUUUUGGAGGCUUGAAUAGAAGGAGGUGAUUGUCGGUGUUGAUGGGUGGGGAGGCAGGCCAAUGUGUUAGCUGAGAACUGCAGAUGGCCCAUCGGAUUUUCAUGACGAGCGAGAUGGUGACACGUGGUAACAUUAUGGAGAGGUUGUGCGAGUGUGAUUGUUGGAGCCGUCCAAUAAUGCAGGUUCUUACUCGUCAAAGGCCCGAAAAAAUAUAGAAGUGGUUAAAAUGGGUGUGUGUGUGUGUUAAGAUAAGAGCAUUGACACUACUGUUCACAAUUAAAGCGAACUUAAAUUACAUUAGCAGUAUCCCGCAAAGAAUAUCUUCUCUUUAACUCCAAAUCAACAAAUGUGGGAGAAAUCCAUAAUUAGAACAAUGAAAGGGGCAAACAAAUGGGAGUGACUGACUGCAUAUGAUACAAAAACCAACAAGCACCUUUUUCAUCUUGAGAAGUGAGAAUUUCACUACACCAAGAGAAGUAUAACAAGAACUAUGAUACAACAGGACAGAAACAUACCAAACAGAAGACAAACUGGAGAAGGGCAGCCCAGUGCAGUAGGCUCGCUGUGGGGACUGGUCCGGAGUGUAAGCAGCAUUAACCCCACAUAUGGAGAGCUUUGUUUAAUGUUUUGAGCCGAUGAUGCCAGCAAGGCCCGCCUUGAAGACAAAGUGGAUUACAUAACACAAAAUAUCAUGACAGACAAUAUUUCGGAACUAGCAAACUACAGUCUCAUCAAAGCCACUAAUGACUAAUCCAUAGAAAAGAAGCAAUGGCUUGGACAUAACAAUAGCAAUAAGGACGUAAAGAAAAAAAACUUGAAAAAGAGAACCCUCAAAUGAUAUGCCUUUUCAGUUUCUUAAGUGGGUUUCCAUAAAUCUUAUUUUUUAAUCAUUUCGAAAUGAAUCUCAAUAGCUUCAAGAAGGGCAGAAACUAAUAUGAGGUAAUUGAUCAACUCAUAGACAUGAUUGUCUAUAUCAUUUCAGUACAACAAUUUGCUAAACUAUCCAUAGAAAUCAACUUCCAAACAUCAUCAAUCCGUUAAGACUAUAUAUCAAAACAAGUGAUCUAGAGAAACAAUCUUCCACAGCUAUAAUGUAUCCAGUAAACAAAAUGAUCACAUUAAGCUAAACAUAAAAACAUAAAUAAACUUCAAAGGGCAUAAAGCAACCUCAAUCUUGAUUAAUGUAGCCCUCUUUCCGCCCUUCAAACCCGGGCCGCAUCAGCUUCUUCUUUCUCUUGGCAAUCUUCCUCAUCUUCUUCUGCCGAAUCCUCUCGGCUAUAUUCUCCGACCUCUUCUGUUGCUUCUCCCCCUUCACCUUCUCAGUUCUCCCUACUCUCCACCUUCUACUUCCACUUCUCCGCGCUCUUCUCGUGCCUCCUCUCCUUCUGCGCACUCUGCUUCAACAGCCUAGGAUCAUCGUGCACCUUCCCCCCGGCUGCCCUGCUCACCGCUGCCUUCCACGAAUGCUUCUUCCCCACCUCGGGGUCCUUCUUCACCCCCUCCAACUCCUCGUUCUUCGAUAUCUUCCUCUUCUUCUUCCUCCUCUCCCUCUCCUCCUCACCUUCAAGCUUCACUUUCCCAAACUCAAUCCCCUUCGCCGCCUCACGCACAUCCUCCUCCACUUCAACCUUCUCACUCUUCUCCUCCACUUCAUUCCCCCUCUUUCUCUUCUGCUGAUUCUCUCUCCUCUCUCUAUUCUCACUCCUGAACGUCUCUCCUGUCCCGCGGUUUCACCGAAGCUCCUCGAUCCACCGGUGGAGGCGCUGCCGGAGCUCCUCGUACGUCACCGAUCGAUCAUCACCGCCGUCCAAAUUUCCGAUCGGCUUAAUCUCAUCUUGUUCGUCGUCGUCGUCGUUUUGGAGUUUUUGUUUUUCACUUUCGAUGCGUUGUUUGAGGGAAUCUAGGGUUGAGGAUUGGGUAUUUUCGGGGUCGAGGCGGCGGCGACGGGAAUUCUAGGUGUUUUCGCGGGACUGGUGUUUGGAGGAGGCCUUGGAACCAGGGUUUGGGGUCGUCCGAGGGGAGGUAGAACUUGGCAGGGAUGAGUUGGACGAGGUUGUCGAAGAAGAGAGAGUGGUUGCGGAUGAGGAACUUGAGGUCUGUGGCGGUGGCGGUGACGGUGGAGCAGUGGUGGAAUUUUGCUUCUUCUUCUUCUUCAUUUGAGAGAGAGAGAGAGAGAGAAGGGGGGGGGGGGCGGCUAGGGUUUUUCUGAUGACGCAAACGUUCGGAUCCGAAAGGGGUUUAGGGGGGAAGAUGGGUGCUCUAAUCCAGUGCGGCAGGGAGCAUUGUAUAGAUUUUAUUACAAGUCAAGUGUUAACACGUACACACUUUUUCCAAACCUGAAAAAAAUCAUACGUGUGGGGUUUAGUUUUGGGAAUCAGUUUACGAUUAGAUUUUUUCAGAAAAAAAAAUGUAUUUUUUAGAAAAUCUAAAAAAUAUCUAAUUUUCAAAAAAUAUUUUCACUAAAAAAUAAAUUAUACAUGAAAAUAAUGAAUGUUUUUAUUUUAAAAAAUAUUUUUCGACAUUAGUUUUGAAAACUAAACCAAGCAAAGUAAUUUUUUUGACUCUGUGUAUUUUCCUCACAUAUGAUAUAUUUUGAAUUUGAUAGAAUUUGUUGUGGUAUAAAAUUGAGCGAGCAACCAACAGUCAAAAUUGCUCAUUCACCUCGACAUUGGACUCGGUAACAACUCGAGCGAAUUUCGCAGACCACUGAACAAACGUUAUCGGUUGGGGUGAGGCCGCUCAAAACUCCUCCAGCGUAAAGAUCAGACCAAGGCGAUAAUAAACUAAGCAAAAAUGAAAUAGAAGAGCUCUGAUAAAAAUAAACUAUUGAGCGUACCUUUUCGUAAUGGGGGAGCGACCUUUAUAUAGUUGUAGAAUGGAGAGCCGUGUGAGGAGAUCACGCCGAGAUUCUCAAAUGGCUAAGUUCGUGAAUAUCGGAGAUUCAAUAGAAGAGAAUCUCAUAAUAGGUGGUUUCCUUGUUUAGGUAAAAGCUUUAUAGAGAUGGUCUCUAACGAGGCAAAGUAAACAACAUCGCCCAUUGGAAUUAUAGAGAUCAAUACUUCCAUACUAUAAUGGUGAAUUGGACGACCUCGGCUAGGGUGGGUUGGAGACUGGAGUUCAUGAGUAUUCUAGGUGUCACUGGAGAUGAUCCGAAGGGCAACCAAAACUGAGCACAAUGGUGAUACGGCAGCGAGAUCUCUUGGGUGACAUACCCUACUUGCCCCACAUCAGUAGGCAGAUAUUUUAUCCCACAUCAGUAGCCCCUUACUUGGAGUGUCGAGGUGGAACACUUGGGAUCUUCGAGUAUCAAUUGAAGUAACUGCCAACUACUGACGUGGGUGUGAAAUUAUGACGUUUCCUUAGGAGACGCCACGUGAUGGA